rnacentral:rRNA from 1 species
UACAGAGGGGGCAAGCGUUGUUCGGAAUUACUGGGCGUAAAGGGCUCGUAGGCGGCCAACUAAGUCAGACGUGAAAUCCCUCGGCUUAACCGGGGAACUGCAUCUGAUACUGGAUGGCUUGAGUUCGGGAGAGGGAUGCGGAAUUCCAGGUGUAGCGGUGAAAUGCGUAGAUAUCUGGAGGAACACCGGUGGCGAAGGCGGCAUCCUGGACCGACACUGACGCUGAGGAGCGAAAAGCCCAGGGGGAGCAAAACGGGG